AAAAAAUCUAGCUAGUCUUUAUUGACGCGGCAGUGCUUCAAACAACACAUUAAUUGCUUUACAUCUAUUAUUUUAUUUUAUCCUUCUAAUAGCAGCAUGACCCAGAGGUUACUCUUUCCUUUUUACAGCUGACUUAAGUUCAGGGAGGCAAAAUAACUUUUCCCAUUCCACACAUCUGGUAUGUAACAAAGUGGAGAUUUGAAUUCAGACUAGAAUGAGGCUUAAACCAUUUUCCUUAACCAUUACUCUGCUUUAUCCACCUGAAACUACUGAUUACCCUUGUGAAAAUAUUUAUUAGCUGAAGUCACUAUAUGAUUUUUCCAUAUUUGGUACAUAUUUUGGUACUAAGGCUUUAAUAUAUGUUUAGUGAGUGAAUAAAUAAUUGACAAAAGGCUGAAAAAAAACUAGGAUACUUUAAACUUACUGAAUAUACUCUGUUCCUGAAUGUUUUUGCUUUGAUUUUGGUACAUGUUGUAAAAUUGCUUUACAGUUCUGGCUUAAAAAUAGCCCAGAGAAAGCAGAGUUUGUGUCAGGUCAGCUGAUAUAAAGUAAAUUUUACCCAGUGAUUUCAAUCUCAGAGCAAUAGCGCCAUGGGUCAAAUGUUUCUCUCUAUUUAUUACAACAUGUAAGGUCAUAAAUGAAGACGGGAGCGGUGGGAACGAGUGUUUUAAGUCCUCUCAGUCAGACCUAUUCCAGGAGAAUUUAUCUGAAACGCAGAGCAACCCAGAGUAAACUUGUCUUAUGAUCAUGAAUUUUGGCAAAAUAUCAAGAAAUUUGGAAAGUGAUCAAAUUCCUUUCACCUUCAAGAAAGAGAAGUAUGAGGUCGACUACCUUCAUAAAGCUAGAAGAAGUUGCAAAAAAUAGCUGAAGACGUCCACAAUUUCUUGGAUUCUCCACUCAAACAACGAAAAGGAAAGCGUCCUCCGUGGUGGUGUUUCUCUGAAGAACUGGCUGGAGGAACGCCGUUUGAACUGAGACCGUUGGCGCUGCAGAUCUCUGUGGCAGAUAGAAAGAGAGAACAUGGAAGCAAGUGAGGUGUCCAAGGACUUCAUCACAAACACCGAAUUCCAAUCUUUAUUACCAGACGAAAUUUUUCCUGAGUCAUCCAAGGAAGACAAACGUUUGCUGUUGGCUGGUCACGGCUUCCGUCUUGACUGCUUCAUCUGCGAAUCCGAUGAGUCGUAACAAUCCGGGUGGAUUGAGUUCAACUUUCCUUUUACCUACCUUUGGACCAGUAGAUACUCAAAAUUGAGCCACCAGACUCCAUAGGCACAUUUUCCCCCAUGGAAAGUAUGAGAGGGUGUGUGUGAGUCCAAGAUGAACUAUGGGAAGGAAAGGAAAAUGCAUGAGGACUGUUGACUUCGAUGGAAUCCCUAUUUGAAGAGUUCAUUUGUCCGUGAUAGUGUGGUGCUGAAGAGUAGCCAAAGAUACACUGUUUCAACUAACAGUUUCUCUACAUUAGGGUGGUGGUACCAGCACUAGCACUACACGCAUCUCCUCCCAGCUCUGCCUUAAUGCCACAGGCCCCCGCCCAGUACCCAAGGCCAACAGCCCAGUGCAAAAGGACACAACACGCUAAGAGGAGACUUGUGAAAAUCACCCAAAGCCAAAGCAGAAAAUAUACCAAGUGCGGACUUUGAAUGAGACUUAUUCAGUACUCUACUCCGACAUUUCGUCAGAAAUUUAUCAAAUGACUUUUUGGAUGUUUCUCUUCUUAGUGCGCUAGUCAUCAAAAGUCGAGAAGUCAAGUUUCCAUCCUAACUCUCCCCAAACAGGUGAGGGAAGAGGCAUGAAGGAAGUCCCACAGCCACACCAGGAGACAUAAUCAGAGCCAGAUGCCAAGCUUUCUGAAUCAAGUGGACUCACAUGCCAUAAAAAUGAGUGGUUUAUUAUAGGCCUCUAAUUAACAAAAUAUGGUUUUUACAUACAGCCAACAGAGUGUACCCCACUGUGUGCCCAUAAAACACGCUUGGCAAAUUGGAAAUAACAGAAUGGCCAUUUUCACCACAUUAAGAAGACUGAGCUCGAGUUUUGUAUUACGUCUACCUUGCAUCAACCCUACAAGGAGCAAAGUCAAAUAGUCAGUCAAUAUUUAGUACAUCAUUCACUUAAUAAAAUCUUUUGAGUGUUUACUGUAAGCAAAACUAACAUACGCAGAAUCGUUGGAAGUAAAAACUUGACUCCAUCUAUAGCCCAAAUUUCAGGCAUGCCUUUAAAUUACAACUAUUUUGUUUAAAAUUUUGUCAAAUGGCCAUUUUGUAAAUUAACUUACUAAAAUGACCGUUCAGGGACAGAGGACAGACAGGAUCAUCUGGGGCCAUAUUAUUCCUCCAUUGUCCCUUUAGAGAGCCUGUUCAACUGUCACAAAACAAGGCAGUAUAAAUGUGGCUCCAGUGCUCAUCAACUCUUUCUUAAUACUGCUCUCAUUAUAUUAAUACUCAAGGACAGCGAUGAUGGUCGUGACAAGCGUCAUAAAUGAUGAAGUACUGCAUCUUCGCGAGGUAAUUGAUUGAGGCACAUUCAGGCUAUUGAGCUUUCCACAAUUGGCAGGUGUGUCUUUUAUAAAAUCCCAGAUCAAGGGCCAGCCUGGGUAGCCCAGUGGUUAAGUUCAGCACGCUCUGCUUUUUUUGGUGGCUCGGGUUCAGUUCCUGGGCGCAGACCUACACCACUCUGUUAGUGGCCAUGCUGUGCUGGCAGCCCACAUACUAAAAAGUAGAGGAAGAUUGGCACUGAUGUUCACUCAGGGUGAAUCUUCCAUAAGAAAAUUAAAAAAUAAAAAUAAUUUUAAAAACCCCAAGUCUAAAGAAAGAGAGAAAGGUCUUCACUGGCCUCCGUGGUCCACAGCUCCUCUAUAUACAGUGUGAGAAGGACAGCUCUGGGACCAGGCGAGGCUCUCUAUGGCUCUGUUCCUUAGGAGUGGGGGCAGCAGCUGCAUCACUUACACGCAUGGUGGCAUUCCACUGCCAGCAUCUGCCAGCCACUGCUGAACUGCGCUAACUGAGAAGUAAAACUCCUUGCCAGUGAGUGCACUGAUUGGCGUGCCGAGAGCCGACUCCCAGCAGUAGAGAGGCCUGCAGCCAGAGGACAAUCGAUGACGAUGAACAGGUCAAAUAAAAGCAUGUUCCUGGGGUCCAACUUGGUUUUGAAAGCUGAAGUGUCCUGAUCGUAUCCAGUUAACCACAUGUAGGGCUGCUGUAUUUUCUCUGCUCUGAAAACGCAGGUGUUACCACACCAGGAAGUUGGCUGCGUUAGGAGGUUCUCGAAAGCGCUGCUUCUGGUACUAAGGUCCCACUUAUUGGUAGCCCCACGCCCCUCGCAUCCCUUCUCACAGUCUCUCAAGCCCCAUGUGGAGUAUGGAAUUGAAUAAACAAGGUUCCAUCCAGAGAAGACCAAGUCCUCCUUAUGCGUAUUCAUUCCUGGAGAGUGCUAAGCAUCUCUUCUGAGACGGACUGAGAAUGCCCUGUAAGAAACCAUGUCUGAAAGCAGAGCACAGUCUCUGGGAGGAGCUUCCUGGUGCUGGAAACAACAAGGGUAUGAUUUCUAUUAAUCUGCGAAAAUGCACUCGUUCAAAUGAGAGAAGUGGAUGGAUAAAAAACUCAUCAGGGUAUGUUGAUGCCACACUCCUACUCCUUUAGGUAUUGUCUUGUAGAUUUCAACCAACAAUCAAGUAUCAACACUAAGCAUCAAUCAAUAAUCUAGUAAUCAUCAAGUAUCAAUUGAUCAACAUUUAUUAUCUAUUCUUUGCUAGAAAGGGAUGUAAGAUAAAAACAAGACAUUUUCCCUACCCUUUUUAUAUUUAAGGCAUACGUAAUUCGCUUAAUAAAAACUUUUAAGUAUAUACUCUAGGCAAAACUAACAUACAUAGAAUCAUUGGAAAUAAAAGCUGGACUCUAUCUGUAGCCCAAAUUUCAGACAUGCUUUUAAAUCUCCAAACAAAUUUAAACUUUUUUUUCCAUAUAGAGAACAUUCAAAUAUUUAAAGAUAAUAUACAUAUUGUCUUCUUUGUUCCAGGCUAAAAUUUUUUUAACUGUUUCUCAUAUGAUAAGAUUUUUUAAAUCAUGCCCCAUCUUAAUUAUCUCUAAAUACUCUCCCAUUUUAAGCAUCAUUCUUAAUAUGAUCUGGCUCUAUGCCUUCACUCUAUGAAACUCUACCUUCUUAUCUGUGAAAUGGCAGAGUUAGGCUAGAUUAAUAAGAUUGUAUCCUCCUAUCAUUAAAAAAACUGAUUUGAACAAACUUCCGCUCCCAUAGGUCUACGCAUCUAUGCAAUAUCCUCCGAGAGCACUGUCUUCACAUCAGACAUGUUGAAAAGAGAUUAGGAUUGCGUGGCAACCACCGUAAAGGAUGUGGUUUCUAGAGAAUUUGUCAGGAACAGAGGUCGUAUGUUGUCUAGUGUGACAGAUGGACGGAUUCAUUUACAAGGUCACCAGAUGCGUGACCUACAAAGGCUCUUAGCUCUUCGGGUCCAACUCACUCUUUUUACUGAGUGGAAAAGAGAUCCAGGUGCCAAGUCACUUGUUCACGAGCAACACUGUGUGUAGCAUACUUAUUUUCCAAAAACGUUAGCAGCACGAUUUCUGAUCCCACCUGGUCUUAGAGACCCUUGCCACACCUCCAUCAAGAAGUAGGGUCUGUCUCCCCUCUCCUGGUGACAGCUUCCAGGAAGAGAAUGCAGCAGAAGUGAUGCUGUGUGAGUUCCGAGGCUAGAUCAUAAUAGGCCACGUGGCACAUGGCUCCCUCUCUCUGUCUCAUUCAUCUCUCUGCACAUCUUUGGAGCCCUGAACCACCACAUAAGAAUUCUGGUUUUCCAGAAGCCAACAAACUAGAGAGACCACGUAGAGAGACCAAAGAGAGGCAUCGGAGAGCCCCGCUGGCCAGCCUCCAGCUGUUUGCAUCUUCCCAGCUCAGGAGUCAAAGACAGUCUACAUUCUUAACACCAUGUGGUAUUGGAUGCCCUGCUGGGGAAUGGAUGCCUAACCGAAGAGGCAAUAGAAAAAACGUUGUUUUUAAAGAGAGGACUAAUAUAAUACAGUGGAACUCCAGGAUCAGGAGUUAAGAAAAGAAAUAAAGGACGUGAGGACAUUGAAUUAGAAUAUAGAAAUGCAGGAUAUACAAUCACAGACUUGGAGAGAGAUCUUAACUAAGUCUGCCUUCUGACAUUUGGUGUGACUCCUGACACAUGCACAAAUGUCUACAGGAUGCUGGUUCUACUCUUCUCUUGGAGUGAGACAAGGUUUAUGACAAGGGACCACAUGAGUUUUUCCUAAGUGCACAAAUGAGAUCUUUCAGAGGGUGGACUGAGGAGUGGAAAGACGAAAGAGAAGGAGAGAAACAGGAGGAACAAUGCACCGGUACAAGGUGUGCAUGAGCAAGCAAAUUGCAGACAACCUCUGCCGCUCUGAUCUCUGGUGCUCAAUCUGAAAUAGGGAGAGGACUCAGAUGGAAAUUGAUCAUGGUCAUGACCCAAAUGCUUCCUGAGACCCUCACUCUCCUUGUCCUAAAAAGCAGUAUAAUUUGGUAAAAGAAGACAGUUCCUCAGUCACUGCCAUCUGUCACCUGCCUGAGCCCUUAUAUCUGCAACUUCAAGAAGACAGAGAAAUGAAUGACCUCCUUGCAGUCUAUCUGCAGCAGAGAGGCCUUUUCCAGUUCAGUCUUCUCUAUUCCUUGUAAUCACUUUAUUUUGUUAAUAAAAUAAAUCUGCCACUCAGGGUUCUCUAGAGGCUUCAUUAUUUAUACUUCCACAUCCAGAAAUAGAUCUUGAUAAAGCAAUCUUAUUUAUAACUACUGUGUACCAGACAUUAGCCAAAGCUUUACCCACCUCUCGUGGCUUCUUUCUCUAACAAGUCUUUUAAAUCAUUUUAUGGAAAGGAGUUCUCUUAAAUCCAUCCAACCAUUUACUAGUCUUAGCAAUGUACAUUUGAUGCAAGAAGGCAACCUGAAAUAAACCAGCUAGGGUCACACUGAAGAAAACCGCGAAGAUUUUCAGAAUGCAGAGAUGGCCUCAUGCAUAAAUAUUACCCCAGAUCUAAAGCAGGAGAAGAGACUGAGGUAUAGUCGGAUCCCUGAAUGUCACACUUCAUUCAGAAAGUCAUCUCCCUUGCAUAUCUCAGGUUGCUCAUCUGAGAGUAAGUUUGAAAACAAAGUUUUGCUUCUUAAAAUGAAGAACAGAACAAACCCCUGUGGGAUCUUAUUAAACAGUUGGCAGACUACUAUGCAUCUUAGUUUUCCUAAGCAUUACUGGUAUCAGUAGGCAAUUCUGUGGUUUCCCUCAGAGUGAAAAGGAAAACGAGCUCUUAAAAUGGGGUGGGGUUUCCAAAGCAACGGCAGAUGUUAACAUUAGGGGAAACUGGCUGAGGGGUAGACCAGAACCCUGCAUUAUCUUUUCAACUUCUCUCUACAUCAAAAACGCUUUCACAAUAAAAAUAGAUUUAAAAGAAAUAGGGUGGGGCUGGAAGGGAAGAAUAAACUUGGGGCUGCCGGAGGAUCAAAGAGUGGGUUUAAAACCGUGGUCUUACAUGGCAGAUCACAACCAGAGGAAGCCCCACCUGAGAUGCACAGAGGACCUGUCCCUUCGGUAACUUAGACCAACAAGCUCUAGAUUGUUCUUACUUCUAGGGAACAGAAUCCCCAACACCUCUGCUGGGCAAGGCAGGCUUUCAUCAUUUUGCAUAUGGCACCACGUGUCUCCAGCCUCUUCAAGGUCUCUUCUCUGAGGGUCAUUUCAUUGGGACAUCAGGUCCUUUCCUGAGCUCUUUCUCUCCAUUUAUACCUGGUGUUUUGACAAGCCGUUCUUUUCCUUCUACAAACACAGCUUGCGUGUGGAAUCACGUCCCAGAAGUUACAGUGAGCAAAGACACAUGGUAUCUAUGAAUCUCUUCUGUGUGUGUACGUGUGUGUGUGUUUUAAUCUGUUCCUUAAAUUGUAAGGCUUACUGGGGAGAUGAAAAAGAGGCUGGAGGAGCUAAAGGCAGUUAUAUCAGUUCUGUACAAAGAAAGUGAACGGGGCUUGGUGCAAGCCAAGAUUGAAUGUGAUUGAGUGCUUCUGUAUGAGGAAAAAAACGCAGCCCGAAAAACAGACACGGGGCCCGUGAGUCCUUCGCCAGGCUUCUUAAAAUAACUACCAUUGUGUUGGAUUAAAAG
rnacentral:lncRNA from 1 species